ensembl:lncRNA
UGAACCACCAGUGCCCCGCACCAACCCCGGCCCCGUGGGUGCCAUUAACCCCGCACGGCCGCGGGCUGCGCGCUCACCUGGGGCUGCCCCCACCCCAGGGCACCCCGCUGCUCCUGCACUGCCCGCUGCACCGCUGGAGUUUGGCUGUAUGUUUUGCAGGGCCCGGGUUUGCAUUCAGCCAAAGCCAUGCUUGAAGCUGGACAUUGUGCCGCCACCAUGGCCACGGCCUGUACCAAUAUGGGGUUUCUCUUGGGGUGUUCCGUUCCCAUCCCCGUGCCCCGUACCCACGACCAUGGUGCUGCCCAUGCCCCAUGCCAGUACCCAUGCCCAAGUCCCAUGCCCUACGUCCAUGCCCCAUUCCCAUCCCCACGCCCUGUACCCGUGACCACACCGAUGCCCAUUCCUACACCCCAUGCCAUGCUGGUGCCCAGCUCCAUGUCCCUGUGCCCAUGCCCUGUGCUAUGCACAUGCCCACGCCCCAUGCCAGUGUCUUGUGCCCUUGUCCCAUGCCCUGUGCUCAUGCCCAGUGCUGGUGUUGGUGACCACGUCCCAUGCCCUGAAUUCAUGAACUGUGUCCAUUUCCUGUGGCUAUAUCCCCUGCUCUGUCCCCAUGCCCUGUCCCCAUGUCCUGUGCCCAGAUCCCCUGCCCUGUGCCCAUGCCCCAUGCCCAUGUCCCGUUCUCUGUCCCCAUGCCUUGUCCUCAUGCCCUGUGACCAUGCCCUGUGUUCUGUCCCCACGCUCUGUCCCCAUACCCCAUCCCCAUGCUCUAUCCCACGCCCUGUCGCCCACCCCCCAUUCCCAUCCCCAUGCCCUGAACCCACAGCCAUUGUGGUACCUACUCCCACACCCCACACCAUGUCGGUGCCACCCCGGUACCCACCCCCACAUCCUCCAUCCUCUGCCCCGUGCCCUGUGCCCAGGCCCCGUGCCCAUGCUCGAGCAGCACGCUGUCACAGAGGGCUCUGUGCCCAAGCUGCAGCCGCAGCUGGGGGGGCUCAGUCCUGCCCAGGCUCCAGCCCUG